rnacentral:rRNA from 1 species
GACGAACGCUGGCGGCGUGCUUAACACAUGCAAGUCGAACGGAAAGGCCCUGCUUGCCGGGUGCUCGAGUGGCGAACGGGUGAGUAACACGUGGGUGAACUGCCCCUUACUUUGGGAUAAGCCUGGGAAACUGGGUCUAAUACUGGAUAGGACCAUGCUGUAGGUGGUGUGGUGGAAAGAUUAGUUUCGGUAAGGGAUGAGCUCGCGGCCUAUCAGCUUGUUGGUGGGGUAAUGGCCUACCAAGGCGUCGACGGGUAGCCGGCCUGAGAGGGUGGGCGGCCACAUUGGGACUGAGAUACGGCCCAGACUCCUACGGGAGGCAGCAGUGGGGAAUAUUGCACAAUGGGCGCAAGCCUGAUGCAGCGACGCCGCGUGGGGGAUGACGGCCUUCGGGUUGUAAACUCCUUUCAGCCAUGACGAAGCCCUUGUGGUGACGGUAGUGGGAGAAGAAGCACCGGCUAACUACGUG